rnacentral:lncRNA from 1 species
GUAAGGAAAAAAUUCAAAACCUAAAGCAUCUAAUCAGUGCCUUAUUAUGUAACAGCAAGAUGAACAAUUCAGAAAUGCAAGAUAAAACAGUUUCACCUGUCUCAGAAUAUGAUUGAAAAACUUGACAGAUAUUUCCAAAAGAUAUACUUAAUUUGAGUAAUUUAAAUAAGCUUGCUUUUGUAUAUGUAAGGAACCACACAGAGAGGAUAUUAACUCUUCUCUUACAUCUAAGUAACAAUUUUUAAAAUGCAGUAUUUGAUCACAAUAAAAAAAUAACUAAAAACUACCCUGGGCCAAGAGCAGUGGCUCACACCUGUAAUCUCAGCACUCUGGGAGCAUGCCUGUAAUCUCAGCAUUUUUAGGGAGCCCAAAGUGGGAGAAUUACUUGAGGCCAGGAGUUUGAAACCAGCCUGGGAAACACAGUGAGACCCCCAUCUCUCCAAAAACUUUAAAAGUUAGCCAGGUAUGGUGGCAUGCAUCUGUAGUCCUAGUUACUUGGGAGGUUGAGGUGGGAGGAUCACAUAAGCCCAGGAGUUUGAGACUACAGUGAGCUAUGAUUGCACCACUGCACUCCAGCCCAGGUGACAGAGCAAGACCCUGUCUCAAAAAAUAAUAAUGAUUUUUCCCCAAAUACAGAUUUUUUAAGUUGCCCUUUUCUGACUAUAAUUCAGUAAAUUUAGGAAUCUAGGGCUAUAGUUCAUAUGCCCAACAAAUAGAAAAGCAAAGUAAAUAGAAUUUUACAAGUUUAACUACUGGGAAAGUAUGAAUAUGGAAUGUUCUUUAAUAUAAGCCUGAGAGCCAAGAAAAAAAUAAAAAUAGAAAUGAAAUCCUAUCUAGGAAUCAGUGGAAAGACGAUUACUUAUUGUCAAAACCUAUUAGAAAUAAUCUAUUAUUAUAGAAAAAUGUGUAGCCUAAAUGCCUUUGUUAUUUUAUCAUUGAAAAUAAAUAAUUUUUGUUAAGAAUCUAGGGAAAAAUACAAAGUAAAUCAUGAGGGAAUACAUGGGAAUUGAUAAUGCAAAAGAUGAAAUUUGUGAUAUAGAAAACAACACAGUAAAAGGAUAAAGGGGAGAAAAAGCUGGUUCUUUGAAAAGACCAAUGAACAAAAUUAACUUUGGCAAGCAUGCUGCAGGAAAAACCAGGGUUCAAUUCACUUGCUCCAGGGCACAUAGGAGAACAUCCGUUAUUGAUUGAUUGAUUGAUGACAGUUUUAUUCUGUCACCUAGGCUGGAGUGCAGUGGUGUGAUCUCAGCUCACUGCAACCUCCGCCUCCCAGGUUUAUUCUUGUGCCUCAGCCUCCCGAGUAGCUGGGAUUACAGGUGGGUGCCACCAAGACCGGCUAAUUUUUGUAUUAUUAGUAGAGACAGUGUUUUGCCAUGUUGGCCAGGCUGGUCUCGAACUCCUGACCUCAAGUGAUCUGUCUGCCUUGGCCUCCCAAAGUGCUGGGAUUACAGGUGUGAGCCACUGCCUUAAAUCUGUCAUUUAAACCCUGCCCAUCUGUACCCAGAGCCCUGUCUAAUACAUCAUAUGCAUACUAUGACAGAAAUAAAAAAUAUUAGAGCAUUAAUAAACUGACUUGAAGAUAGUCAGUAAAGGUUUCUCAACAUAUCCAAGAUGCACGGGCAAUAAAGAGCUGGAAAGACUUGUAUUCUUCCUCCUUUCCCUUUUGUGGUCACAAGUGGUUGAUUCCUGGUUCACACUGAGGAUUCAUGUGUGAGCUAUGGCUAGGUCAUUAUGACAUUUUUGCAUUUCAGAACAUUUCUGUAAGUUUUCCAUCAAUCCCAAGUAUAAAAGAUUCAGAGAAAGAUGAGGAGACUGAAACUAAGAGGAGCAAAAUGACCGGUCCAAGAGAAGAAACCAGAAUUGGACCCAAGGGGCUUUAUUGAACUUGGUUUAUGUAUCAGACAUAUAGAAAACCUUCUAUAGUCCACGGGGUAUUUUUUUGUCGUUAUUAUCCUCGUUCUUCCCAACAAUGAUGCUAAGGCACAGAGACGUUCAGCCACCUGCCCAGGGUCACACAGCCAGUGAUCUGCCUGACUCCGCAGCCCAUGCUUGCAAACACUCUACUGAAGCAUUUCCUAAUACCUGCUGGAGCAUUUGGGCCCUCCUGAUGGGCUCCCCUCCACCUCUCUGCCUCCCACGAUGUGCCCUCACAUUUCCUUGCUGGACCCAAGAGCUGUGAAACACAUUAGGAACUAAUAGUCUAGGAGGGGCAUGGGCUUGUGGAAAGAAAACACCACAGUCCCCUUCCUCAGCUGUACUGUUCUUUCCUUCAGCUGAUAUUUCUCAGGUUAUAUAAAUGGAAUGUUAUACAAAUGUUUCCGCCAUGAGUUUCCUUUCAAAAGAUGAAUAAAAGAAUGAGGCAUUUUGUUUUCCUUUGUUCCCUGGUAGCACCUAUGUUAAGAAUUUGUGCUUAAAACAUGACUCACUAAUUCUUGGAGCAGAGCACAAGGAAGUAUACAGACCUAAUAGCUCUGUGAGAUGUAGGCUUGAGCUUGUGUGGGAAAGAAUCCAUUGGAACCACGUAGAUGAAGUUUCAUUCAAAAACAAUCCUCCCCGCCCUUACCCCUUCCCCAACAGCUCCCAACAUGACUGCGUUGUUUAAGUAGCCGAUUGCUCUCUUGUAUGACUGUCAAAUAUUUCAGGUUGCAAGAAAGCUCAAGUAGCCUAUGGAGAGGAUGCAAGGCUUCCAGCUGAUGCCCUCAGCCAGGCUCAGUAGCAGCCAGAACUAGCCUACCAACGAACCUGCUGAUCAUGUGCAUAAGCCACCUUGAACGUCGAUCCUCCUGCCUGGUGGAGCCAUCCCAGCUGAUGCCACAUGAAGCAGACACAAGCUGUCCCUACUAAGCUCUGCUCAAGUUGGAUAUUCAUGAGUGAAAUAAAUGACUGUUACUAAGUAAUUAAUUUUUGGGUGGCUGUUAUGUAGCAGUAGAUAAUUGGAACAAAGCUUAUUGACAUAAUACAUCUAUAUCACAUCCUCCAAUCCAUUUUUUUAAGUAAUAAAGUUGAUGUUUGUUUUGAUUUUCAGUUACAGCUUUACAUAUUUUGUCUUAAUUAGUCAAUUUUUUCCAAACUCAAAAUGGGUUUUUGUAAGAGUAGUAGUAGGGUCCUAGAAUAAUGGCAAUUCUCUUUCACUGGAGAAAGUUUUGUAGAGAAGACAAAAGAAUUUUUACAAGUACUCCACUGGUGAAAACUCAUAAACCUUGAAGAAAACUGAUACAAGGAAUUAAGGACUCACGAAAACGGUGAUCAUUUAUUUUUGGAUCAGAUUCUUUCCAAACAUCGGAUCCUUGGACAAAAGCAACAAAAGAGACAUUCCUUGUACUAAAAAGGCUGGAUACCAGUACUUCCAUCAGACUCCCUAUUUUAAUAGCAAGCCUGGUGAGGGAGUUCCUUCUGAAGGCUCACACUGGCUUAACUAACAUUGACUACUGUGUUAGGAUUAGUCAUUGCUGACUGUGCCAGCCUGCAGCCUCAUAAUCAGAGCCUUGUCACCAAGCAUGGCUGCCUCAGUGACUGGAAUGGAAAUGAAAAUAAAGCAAGUGUUAUUUUCCUCAUCCUGAAGCAACAGAGAACUGCAUCAGGCUUACCAACAUGAACGUGGGUAAGAAGGAGUUUUGAAGUCCAGCAAAGAUUUUAUAGCUAGUGAGGCUGGCUGGAAGCAGGGUCGAUCUGGUCUGAUGUGUUGCAAGAUGUGAACUUAUUAAGGCAUCACAGAGGCAACUCCCAGCGGGGGUGGAGGAGAGCAGCAGGGAUGGAAAGGAAGAAGACUCUCAAGAUAGGAUGCUCCAAAGGAUGAUUGGAAGAGAAGGGUGAUGUCUGGAAGCGAUAAGCCUCAGAUGUUUGUUUGCACCUUACUGGAAAGCCAUGUAAAUUAAUGGAAACUUCCUGGCAAAAUAGCUUGACUUGUAGCAACUUCACAACCAUAACAAUCCAGAGGUGAGGUUUGCCCGCACCCUAUUCAUUUCAAUCCCGAAGGCAAUUUUCCCCUUGGCCAGAGAGAAGCUCAAGAACAAAAAACCAAACACCGCAUGUUCUCACUCAUAGGUGGGAAUUGAACAAUGAGAACACAUGGACACAGGAAGGGGAACAUCACACUCUGGGGACUGUUGUGGGGUGGGGGGAGGGGGGAGGGAUAGCAUUAGGAGAUAUACCUAAUGUUAAAUGACAAGUUAAUGGGUGCAGCACACCAGCAUGGCACAUGUAUACAUAUGUAACUAACCUGCACAUUAUGCACAUGUACCCUAA